UCUGAUUUCUGUGUAAAGAUGUCAAGCCGGAGAAAACUAAAUUUUUAUUUAUUUUUAAAUAUAGGAUAUGAUGCAUAAGCAGGUAUAGGGUUCUAGGGUGGCUGACAUGGAUAGGGAUUUUAUAUAGUAGGACUCGGUGUAAAGCAUGGAGAAUAAAAUAUAGCUUAGGGUGAAGGGAUUUUUGAGUGUAAAUCUAUUGUCUGAUACACACUCCGGAGCAGAAAGUGGCGGUAAUUCACCAAUAAGCUGUGUACCACCCGCUGUAAAACAAGAAGACGGUAUAUCCAAUCACAUGCGCAUGUUGCUGUGACGUGAUCUUGGAAGAAGGUCGUUGUGAUUUCAAAUUCUCCGUGGGAAAAUCUGGCGGCGUUCAAGAGCAGAGUUCUCUACAUUUGGCCCAACAGCUCAAAUGGAAACUAGAGCACAAGAUCAGAAUGAAGCUCCCACACAUGGCCUUAUGACUGUUGCCCCAGUGAAGAACCCGAGGUCCAGCCUUCCCCACUCAAGACAUGCCUGAGACAAGAGUGACUGUAUUCCAAGUUGAUCCAAGGCCGGGUCUUUUCCUUUCUCCCUGUUUGUGUUAGAUUCGACAUCUUUGGAGGAAAGUGGAUUUCUUCUGCUGCUUCUCUGCGCUACUACAGUGGUGGUAGAGUUCAGCAGUUGUGGCGAGCCAAGCUAAUUGAUGGGACGAUUCUGAAAGAUCUGAACUGUUGCUUUCAUCUGAAAUCCUGGUAGGACUGAUCAUUGCCAGAACACUGAAGGACACAUUUAAUAGACUGUAUAUUUUCAUUCCCUUCAUUGGACUGAAAAAAAUGGAAUCACUGUUUCAUUGGUUGAAGUUACUUUUAUUGCUCUGUUGAUUGAUAUUGAUGUUUGGGGAAUUGAUACUAUUUCUUUUAAAAGGUAUUUUGAUACAUACACCAAUGAAGAUCUUUUGAUGUAUAUACAUUGAGGUUAAAAUGUGUUUUGCUAAUACACAAAAAGGGGUUUAGCUCAUGAAAAAAAAACAGCGUGUGAGUUAAACUAGUUGGGUAGGUUAACUCUAGGCCAACCGUCAAUAUAGCAUAAUUUAGAUUCUAAAUACAUUUAAAACUAAGCAACCACUAACUACGGUCUACUUAAGUGAUUGGUUGGUUAUACACCGAGUGAUUUCAUUCAAGAAAGGAAGCAUAUAUACUCUGUACUCUCGUAUGGGGAUGGGACGACAUGAAAACAAUUUUCAACUGUCCACCACGUUUUGGCA